AGCAGCCGCGGUAAUUCCAGCUCCAAUAGCGUAUAUUAAAGUUGUUGCAGUUAAAAAGCUCGUAGUUGAAUUUCGGGAUCAAUGGGUUGGUCAUGCCCUCGGUAUGUACUGAUUUCAUUGGUCCUCACCUUCUAAGGAACCAUGAUGUCAUUCGUUUGAUGUUGUGGGGAAUUAGGACUGUUACCUUGAAAAAAUUAGAGUGUUUAAAGCAGGCUAACGCUUGAAUACAUUAGCAUGGAAUAAUGAAAUAGGACAUCCGAUUCUAUUUUGUUGGUUUCUAGGAUCGAUGUAAUGAUUAAUAGGGAUAGGUUGGGGGCAUUAGUAUUCAAUUGUCAGAGGUGAAAUUCUUGGAUUUUAUUGAAGACUAACUACUGCGAAAGCAUUUGCCCAAGGAUUGUUUUCUAUUAAUCAAGAACGAAAGUUAGGGGAUCGAAGACGAUCAGAUACCGUCGUAGUCUUAACCAUAAACUAUGCCGACUAGGGAUCGGAUGAUGCUUUAUUUUUUAAUGACUCUA
rnacentral:rRNA from 1 species